ACAUGCUGGCAGCUGACAUGACUGAAAAGAAUGGUACAUCCCCACCCAGGCAGGUGAAAGAAAUGUACGCCAGAGGAAUAGUGUCCUUAUUCCCCUACCUCAGUGACCCAUUCUCUAAGAAUGGCUAUGAGCACUAUUAUGAUGGGGAGAGUGGAACUGGGUACUUGGCCUGGAGGAUUAAAACUAUUCAGAGAAGCACUGCUAAAGAUAGGCGAUCCUCGUUUGGAG